AGAGUUUGAUCAUGGCUCAGAUUGAACGCUGGCGGCAUGCCUUACACAUGCAAGUCGAGCGGCAGCGCGGGGGCAACCCUGGCGGCGAGCGGCGCACGGGUGAGUAAUGCAUCGGAACGUGUCCUCUUGUGGGGGAUAACCAGUCGAAAGACUGGCUAAUACCGCAUGAGCUCGCGAGAGGAAAGCAGGGGACCCGCAAGGGCCUUGCGCGAGAGGAGCGGCCGAUGCCGGAUUAGCUAGUUGGUGGGGUAAAAGCCCACCAAGGCGACGAUCCGUAGCUGGUCUGAGAGGACGACCAGCCACACUGGGACUGAGACACGGCCCAGACUCCUACGGGAGGCAGCAGUGGGGAAUUUUGGACAAUGGGGGCAACCCUGAUCCAGCCAUGCCGCGUGUGUGAAGAAGGCCUUCGGGUUGUAAAGCACUUUCGGCCGGAACGAAAUCGCGUGGGCGAAUAUCCCGCGUGGAUGACGGUACCGGAAGAAGAAGCACCGGCUAACUACGUGCCAGCAGCCGCGGUAAUACGUAGGGUGCGAGCGUUAAUCGGAAUUACUGGGCGUAAAGUGUGCGCAGGCGGCCGCGCAAGUCGAGUGUGAAAGCCCCGAGCUUAACUUGGGAAUUGCGCUCGAAACUACGUGGCUGGAGUGUGGCAGAGGAAGGUGGAAUUCCAGGUGUAGCGGUGAAAUGCGUAGAGAUCUGGAGGAACACCGAUGGCGAAGGCAGCCUUCUGGGCCAACACUGACGCUCAUGCACGAAAGCGUGGGGAGCAAACAGGAUUAGAUACCCUAGUAGUCC
rnacentral:rRNA from 1 species